rnacentral:rRNA from 1 species
UACAGAGGUCUCAAGCGUUGUUCGGAUUCAUUGGGCGUAAAGGGUGCGUAGGCGGCGCGGUAAGUCGGGUGUGAAAUCUCGGAGCUUAACUCCGAAACUGCAUUCGAUACUGCCGUGCUUGAGGACUGGAGAGGAGACUGGAAUUUACGGUGUAGCGGUGAAAUGCGUAGAUAUCAAGAGGAACACCAGUGGCGAAGGCGAGUCCCUGGACAGAUCCUGACGCUGAGGCACGAAAGCUAGGGGAGCAAACAGG